CCUACGGGAGGCAGCAGUAAGGAAUAUUGGUCAAUGGACGCAAGUCUGAACCAGCCAUGCCGCGUGCAGGAUGACGGCCCUCUGGGUUGUAAACUGCUUUUAUACGGGAAGAAACCUCUGGUUGCGAUCAGAGCUGACGGUACCGUAAGAAUAAGGACCGGCUAACUUCGUGCCAGCAGCCGCGGUAAUACGAAGGGUCCAAGCGUUAUCCGGAUUUAUUGGGUUUAAAGGGUGCGUAGGCGGCUUAUUAAGUCAGUGGUGAAAGACUUCAGCUUAACUGAAGAACUGCCAUUGGUACUGAUGAGCUUGAAUAUACUUGAGGUGGGCGGAAUGUGUCAUGUAGCGGUGAAAUGCUUAGAUAUGACACAGAACACCGAUUGCGAAGGCAGCUCGCUAAAGUAUGAUUGACGCUGAUGCACGAAAGCGUGGGGAGCAAACAGGAUUAGAUACCCUGGUAGUCCACGCCCUAAACGUUGAUAACUCGAUGUGUGCGAUAUACAGUACGCGUCCAAGCGAAAGCAUUAAGUUAUCCACCUGGGAAGUACGGUCGCAAGAUUGAAACUCAAAGGAAUUGACGG
rnacentral:rRNA from 1 species